UAACAUCCGCAGGCUGCCGGCCCCAGGCUGGGCUGGGCGAGUAUCUAUUCUAAAGGCUCACCCUCAAGCUAGACCUGGAGC
rnacentral:pre_miRNA from 1 species